GACGAACGCUGGCGGCGUGCUUAACACAUGCAAGUCGAACGGAAAGGCCCUGCUUUUGUGGGGUGCUCGAGUGGCGAACGGGUGAGUAACACGUGAGUAACCUGCCCUUGACUUUGGGAUAACUUCAGGAAACUGGGGCUAAUACCGGAUAGGAGCUCCUGCUGCAUGGUGGGGGUUGGAAAGUUUCGGCGGUUGGGGAUGGACUCGCGGCUUAUCAGCUUGUUGGUGGGGUAGUGGCUUACCAAGGCUUUGACGGGUAGCCGGCCUGAGAGGGUGACCGGCCACAUUGGGACUGAGAUACGGCCCAGACUCCUACGGGAGGCAGCAGUGGGGAAUAUUGCACAAUGGGCGGAAGCCUGAUGCAGCAACGCCGCGUGCGGGAUGACGGCCUUCGGGUUGUAAACCGCUUUCGCCUGUGACGAAGCGUGAGUGACGGUAAUGGGUAAAGAAGCACCGGCUAACUACGUGCCAGCAGCCGCGGUGAUACGUAGGGUGCGAGCGUUGUCCGGAUUUAUUGGGCGUAAAGGGCUCGUAGGUGGUUGAUCGCGUCGGAAGUGUAAUCUUGGGGCUUAACCCUGAGCGUGCUUUCGAUACGGGUUGACUUGAGGAAGGUAGGGGAGAAUGGAAUUCCUGGUGGAGCGGUGGAAUGCGCAGAUAUCAGGAGGAACACCAGUGGCGAAGGCGGUUCUCUGGGCCUUUCCUGACGCUGAGGAGCGAAAGCGUGGGGAGCGAACAGGCUUAGAUACCCUGGUAGUCCACGCUGUAAACGGUGGGUACUAGGUGUGGGGUCCAUUCCACGGGUUCCGUGCCGUAGCUAACGCUUUAAGUACCCCGCCUGGGGAGUACGGCCGCAAGGCUAAAACUCAAAGGAAUUGACGGGGCCCCGCACAAGCGGCGGAGCAUGCGGAUUAAUUCGAUGCAACGCGUAGAACCUUACCUGGGUUUGACAUGGAUCGGGAGUGCUCAGAGAUGGGUGUGCCUCUUUUGGGGUCGGUUCACAGGUGGUGCAUGGCUGUCGUCAGCUCGUGUCGUGAGAUGUUGGGUUAAGUCCCGCAACGAGCGCAACCCUUGUUCACUGUUGCCAGCACGUUAUGGUGGGGACUCAGUGGAGACCGCCGGGGUCAACUCGGAGGAAGGUGGGGAUGACGUCAAGUCAUCAUGCCCCUUAUGUCCAGGGCUUCACGCAUGCUACAAUGGCUGGUACAGAGAGUGGCGAGCCUGUGAGGGUGAGCGAAUCUCGGAAAGCCGGUCUCAGUUCGGAUUGGGGUCUGUAACUCGACCUCAUGAAGUCGGAGUCGCUAGUAAUCGCAGAUCAGCAACGCUGCGGUGAAUACGUUCCCGGG
rnacentral:rRNA from 1 species